rnacentral:rRNA from 1 species
AAUCAACGCUGGCGGCGUGCCUAACACAUGCAAGUCGAACGCGAAAGGGGCUUCGGCCCUGAGUAGGGUGGCGUCCGGGUGAGUAACGCGUGGGUAAUCUACCCUCGGGUGGGAAUAACCAAUCGAAAGAUUGGCUAAUACCGCAUAAUGCAGCGGCUCGACAUCGAGACAGUUGUUAAAGCAGCAAUGCGCCAGAGGAGGAGCCUGCGUCUGAUUAGCUUGGGUC